ensembl:lincRNA 4833422M21Rik RIKEN cDNA 4833422M21 gene
CUGACACCGCACGCGUUGGGGAGGAGGCGCUUGCCAUGCAAUACCUAUUUAAACUGGGAGAGCUGCGGGAGAGCUGCAGUCAUCUGCUGCGGGUCUUUUAUUACGUGGCAAGUUUAGAAUAACAUUUUCAAAACAUACAACUUCAAACAUCUAAGUCCUCAUGAGAUGAUACAAUACGUGGAUCUCGAGUGCAUCUGUGUGUUUCCCAGAGGCCCGUGCGGGACUCCUGGCCACUGGAUGGUACGCUCUGCCUUCAGAACGGCUCUUUCCACCGUUCUGAAAUGCCCUCCCUCAUAGACACCUCAGGUGUGCUCUGCUGACUCUAAAUCCAGUCAACUUGUCAAAGAUUAACCAUCAGAGGGUGUCAAUGAUCAAUGAUCAAGUCAGAGGGAAAAACUCUUCACCACAAAUCGUACUUUGAUAUUGGAGUGAGCUGGAUGUAGCCCACAGGGUACCACACCCACCUCACUUCUCUUCACCCUUCUGUCUGCUCCUGGACACCAGCAGAGCCCACAAGCCAUUGGUACCAAGUCUCAUCCUCACUCUGACUCCUGAUGGGAGCUGAAGACUCAUCUUUUCAAUAACUGUAUCCUUCCAGGUUAGGAAAUCGGAAACAUUUCAAUCCUUCAACAUUCUCCUCUUUUCCUUUUCAAUUUUUUUGUUACUGGCACCAAAUAGUUGAUAUGGCGGGUUGUCUAUGAACUCACCAGUGAUAUAAUGACACGGAGGCUUAUUAUCAUUUUAAAGCUUAGGCCUUAGCUUGGGAAAUCUCUCAGCUAGCUCAUCUUAACCCUACUAAUCCCAGCCUAUGUCCUGUCACAUGCCUACAUCCUCCUCUCUGCUCUGCUCUGGUCCACCAGUCCACCCCGAGUCAGCUCGUGAACCUCCUGUGUCUCAGUUCUCCUCUCAGAGUCCCUGUUUCUGCUUGGAAGUCCAACCUUCCACUUCUUGCUCAGCCACUGGCUGUCAGAUUUUUAUUACAUUCAAUAGGCAGGUAAGGAAGCAUGAAUGUUUACACAAUACGAGGCCAGUGAUAGGCCAUAGAUAAAACAGUACAAAGAUCUGGCUAGUACUUAGCUCUCUGCCAGCUUGGCCACCAGUGAUUGGAUAUACAGAGACAACCUUCACACAGUGUACCAAAGGUUACCCCACAGGUUCAUCUUGGUGCUCAGAUGAGAAACCUAGCAAUUAUCCAGGAAUCCUUUCUCCACCACUCUCUAUGUCCCAUGGGAAAUGGGCUCCUUUUAUUUACUUUAAAAAGUAAAGCUAAGGCUCUUGGGGCUGUGGCCUUUGCUCUUAGCACUGUUAUACAGCCAUGUUGGAUGACUCCUGAUUCCUCAAAUAAACUCUUUGUCUUUACACAUC